rnacentral:rRNA from 1 species
ACUGCAAGUCGAGCGAACAGAUAAGGAGCUUGCUCCUUUGACGUUAGCGGCGGACGGGUGAGUAACACGUGGGUAACCUACCUAUAAGACUGGGAUAACUUCGGGAAACCGGAGCUAAUACCGGAUAACAUUUGGAACCGCAUGGUUCUAAAGUGAAAGAUGGUUUUGCUAUCACUUAUAGAUGGACCCGCGCCGUAUUAGCUAGUUGGUAAGGUAACGGCUUACCAAGGCGACGAUACGUAGCCGACCUGAGAGGGUGAUCGGCCACACUGGAACUGAGACACGGUCCAGACUCCUACGGGAGGCAGCAGUAGGGAAUCUUCCGCAAUGGGCGAAAGCCUGACGGAGCAACGCCGCGUGAGUGAUGAAGGGUUUCGGCUCGUAAAACUCUGUUAUUAGGGAAGAACAAACGUGUAAGUAACUGUGCACGUCUUGACGGUACCUAAUCAGAAAGCCACGGCUAACUACGUGCCAGCAGCCGCGGUAAUACGUAGGUGGCAAGCGUUAUCCGGAAUUAUUGGGCGUAAAGCGCGCGUAGGCGGUUUCUUAAGUCUGAUGUGAAAGCCCACGGCUCAACCGUGGAGGGUCAUUGGAAACUGGGAAACUUGAGUGCAGAAGAGGAAAGUGGAAUUCCAUGUGUAGCGGUGAAAUGCGCAGAGAUAUGGAGGAACACCAGUGGCGAAGGCGACUUUCUGGUCUGUAACUGACGCUGAUGUGCGAAAGCGUGGGGAUCAAACAGGAUUAGAUACCCUGGUAGUCCACGCCGUAAACGAUGAGUGCUAAGUGUUAGGGGGUUUCCGCCCCUUAGUGCUGCAGCUAACGCAUUAAGCACUCCGCCUGGGGAGUACGACCGCAAGGUUGAAACUCAAAGGAAUUGACGGGGACCCGCACAAGCGGUGGAGCAUGUGGUUUAAUUCGAAGCAACGCGAAGAACCUUACCAAAUCUUGACAUCCUUUGAAAACUCUAGAGAUAGAGCCUUCCCCUUCGGGGGACAAAGUGACAGGUGGUGCAUGGUUGUCGUCAGCUCGUGUCGUGAGAUGUUGGGUUAAGUCCCGCAACGAGCGCAACCCUUAAGCUUAGUUGCCAUCAUUAAGUUGGGCACUCUAGGUUGACUGCCGGUGACAAACCGGAGGAAGGUGGGGAUGACGUCAAAUCAUCAUGCCCCUUAUGAUUUGGGCUACACACGUGCUACAAUGGACAAUACAAAGGGCAGCUAAACCGCGAGGUCAUGCAAAUCCCAUAAAGUUGUUCUCAGUUCGGAUUGUAGUCUGCAACUCGACUACAUGAAGCUGGAAUCGCUAGUAAUCGUAGAUCAGCAUGCUACGGUGAAUACGUUCCCGGGUCUUGUACACACCGCCCGUCACACCACGAGAGUUUGUAACACCCGAAGCCGGUGGAGUAACCAUUU